GGCAAGGUGGCCGAGUGGUUAAGGCGCUGUGUUUAGGUAUUAUACCUACAAAAUCCGCAGUGGGAAACCUCGCGAGUUCGAAUCUCGUCCUUGUCA
rfam:TPA: Aspergillus nidulans FGSC A4 chromosome VIII